rnacentral:rRNA from 1 species
AUGGAGACGCCGCCUGGGGAUGCUGCAGGUUUGGGUGAGUUUUGCCUUGGUGUGGAGGCGUCUGGCAGCUGGUUUGUCCUCUCUACAGCGGCUAGCGAUGCCAUGAUUUACAGAUCCGGCGUCCCCUUUGGUGGUUUCUCUCCGGCGGGGCUGGCAGCUGUGUUGUUGAGUACCCGGUUCUUCUCUGCGGCGACUGAUUUUGCUGUCGUGAUGCUCGCUGCUGUGGUUUGGCUCGUUGCUGUUUCAUCCUCUUCGAUUGCCCCAAGUGGCUUUCCCUCUUUGCUGGGUGUCCGCGGGCGGCGGCGUGGUAGCUGGCGUGGUGUGCUUUUGGCUUCGUGCAGGUCAGGCGACGUGUUCUUCACAAGUGGCCGUGAAGCCGGCUCCUAUUCUAGCUCUCGGGUGAGCGUCUCUCUUGCCGACGGUGCGGCGUCCUCGAGCCAGGACGAGAGGGCAGGGGCCCUCUUCGGCAUCUGA